rnacentral:rRNA from 1 species
CAGUCGCCGCGGUAAUACGGAGGGGGCUAGCGUUGUUCGGAAUUACUGGGCGUAAAGCGCACGUAGGCGGAUAUUUAAGUCAGGGGUGAAAUCCCGCAGCUCAACUGCGGAACUGCCUUUGAUACUGGGUAUCUUGAGUAUGGAAGAGGUAAGUGGAAUUGCGAGUGUAGAGGUGAAAUUCGUAGAUAUUCGCAGGAACACCAGUGGCGAAGGCGGCUUACUGGUCCAUUACUGACGCUGAGGUGCGAAAGCGUGGGGAGCAAACAGGAUUAGAUACCCGUGUAGUCCCUGUCUCUUAUAC